UGAGAAAGGUCAUGAAAACUGGUUUGAGAGAAGGCAAGGGUGAUGCUGGUUUUCAAGUACAAACAGGAUAUUUCUGAAGCUCAGAGUUCCCUUAACAAAACAAAUAAAGGCAAGUUCCCAGAUUAAAGCAGCUUCCUCAAUCCUGUCCGGUUGCUGUCACAAUUAAAACAACAG